rnacentral:tRNA from 1 species
UAGACGGAUGCUCGCAGGUUUGAGCGCUUAGCUGUUAACUAAGAAUUUAAGGGAUCAAGGCCCUUCUGUCUAG